rnacentral:rRNA from 1 species
AGUCGAACGAUGAUGCCCAGCUUGCUGGGCGGAUUAGUGGCGAACGGCAGUGAAAUACGUGAGUAACCUGCCCUUGACUCUGGGAUAAGCCUGGGAAACUGGGUCUAAUACUGGAUACUACCUCUUACCGCAUGGUGGGUGGUGGAAAGGGUUUUACUGGUUUUGGAUGGGCUCACGGCCUAUCAGCUUGUUGGUGGGGUAAUGGCUCACCAAGGCGACGACGGGUAGCCGGCCUGAGAGGGUGACCGGCCACACUGGGACUGAGACACGGCCCAGACUCCUACGGGAGGCAGCAGUGGGGAAUAUUGCACAAUGGGCGGAAGCCUGAUGCAGCGACGCCGCGUGAGGGAAUGACGGCCUUCCGGGAUUGUUAAACCUCUUUCAGUAGGGAAGAAAGCGAGAGUGACGGUACCUGCAGAAGAAAGCGCCGGCUAACUACGUGCCAGCAGCCGCGGUAAUACGUAGGGCGCAAGCGUUGUCCCGGAAUUAUUGGGCGUAAAGAGCUCGUAGGCGGUUUGUCGCGUCUGCUGUGAAAGCCCGGGGCUCAACCCCGGGUCUGCAGUGGGUACGGGCAGACUAGAGUGCAGUAGGGGAGACUGGAAUUCCUGGUGUAGCGGUGAAAUGCGCAGAUAUCAGGAGGAACACCGAUGGCGAAGGCAGGUCUCUGGGCUGUUACUGACGCUGAGGAGCGAAAGCAUGGGGAGCGAACCAGGAUUAGAUACCCUGGUAGUCCAUGCCGUAAACGUUGGGCACUAGGUGUGGGGGGACAUUCCACGUUUUCCGCGCCGUAGCUAACGCAUUAAGUGCCCCGCCUGGGGAGUACGGCCGCAAGGCUAAAACUCAAAGGAAUUGACGGGGGCCCGCACAAGCGGCGGAGCAUGCGGAUUAAUUCGAUGCAACGCGAAGAACCUUACCAAGGCUUGACAUUCACCGGACCGCCCCAGAGAUGGGGUUUCCCUUCGGGGCUGGUGGACAGGUGGUGCAUGGUUGUCGUCAGCUCGUGUCGUGAGAUGUUGGGUUAAGUCCCGCAACGAGCGCAACCCUCGUUCUAUGUUGCCAGCACGUGAUGGUGGGGACUCAUAGGAGACUGCCGGGGUCAACUCGGAGGAAGGUGGGGAUGACGUCAAAUCAUCAUGCCCCUUAUGUCUUGGGCUUCACGCAUGCUACAAUGGCCGGUACAAAGGGUUGCGAUACUGUGAGGUGGAGCUAAUCCCAAAAAGCCGGUCUCAGUUCGGAUUGAGGUCUGCAACUCGACCUCAUGAAGUCGGAGUCGCUAGUAAUCGCAGAUCAGCAACGCUGCGGUGAAUACGUUCCCGGGCCUUGUACACACCGCCCGUCAAAUCGCGAAAGUUGGUAACACCCGAAGCCGGUGGCCUAACCCCUUGUGGGAGGGAGCCGUCGAAGGUG